GAGUUUGAUCAUGGCUCAGAACGAACGCUGGCGGCAUGCCUAACACAUGCAAGUCGAACGAGACCGCCGUCUUCGGAUGGCGUGUCUAGUGGCGCACGGGUGCGUAACGCGUGGGAAUCUGCCCUUGGGUCUGGAAUAACAGUUAGAGAUGACUGCUAAUACCGGAUGAUGACUUCGGUCCAAAGAUUUAUCGCCCAGGGAUGAGCCCGCGUAGGAUUAGCUUGUUGGUGAGGUAAAAGCUCACCAAGGCGACGAUCCUUAGCUGGUCUGAGAGGAUGAUCAGCCACACUGGGACUGAGACACGGCCCAGACUCCUACGGGAGGCAGCAGUGGGGAAUAUUGGACAAUGGGCGAAAGCCUGAUCCAGCAAUGCCGCGUGAGUGAUGAAGGCCUUAGGGUUGUAAAGCUCUUUUACCCGGGAUGAUAAUGACAGUACCGGGAGAAUAAGCCCCGGCUAACUCCGUGCCAGCCGCCGCGGU
rnacentral:rRNA from 1 species